UACGGGGGGGGCAAGCGUUGUUCGGAAUUACUGGGCGUAAAGGGGACGUAGGCGGCCAACUAAGUCCGACGUGAAAUCCCAAGGCUUAACCUUGGAACUGCGUCGGAUACUGGAUGGCUUGAAUUCGGGAGAGGGAUGCAGAAUUCCUGGUGUAGCGGUGAAAUGCGCAGAUAUCAGGAAGAACACCAAUGGCGAAAGCAGCUCUCUGGGACGGUACUGACGCUGAGACGCGAAAGCGUGGGGAGCGAACAGG
rnacentral:rRNA from 1 species